rnacentral:rRNA from 1 species
GAUGAACGCUGGCGGUAUGCCUUAUACAUGCAAGUCGUACGAGAGUUUUUAACUCAAGUGGCGGACGGGUGAGUAACACGUAAGAAUUUGCCUUUAGGAGGGGGAUAACAACUGGAAACGGUUGCUAAUACCCCAUAUGCUUUCGAGUGAAAUGGUUUUUCCGCCUAAAGAGAAGCUUGCGGCUGAUUAGCUUGUUGGUGAGGUAAUAGCUCACCAAGGCGACGAUCAGUAUCUGGUUUGAGAGGACGAUCAGACACACUGGAACUGAGACACGGUCCAGACUCCUACGGGAGGCAGCAGUAGGGAAUUUUCCGCAAUGGGCGAAAGCCUGACGGAGCAAUACCGCGUGAGGGAUGACGGCCUAUGGGUUGUAAACCUCUUUUUUCAGGGA